rnacentral:rRNA from 1 species
ACGCUCGACACCUACGGGCGGCAGCAGUGAGGAAUAUUGGUCAAUGGACGCAAGUCUGAACCAGCCAUGCCGCGUGCAGGAUGACGGCUCUAUGAGUUGUAAACUGCUUUUGUACGAGGGUAAACGCAGAUACGUGUAUCUGUCUGAAAGUAUCGUACGAAUAAGGAUCGGCUAACUCCGUGCCAACAGCCGCGGUAAUCUGAGCGGGCUGGCAAGGC